UACGUAGGGUGCAAGCGUUGUCCGGAAUUAUUGGGCGUAAAGAGCUCGUAGGUGGCCUGUCGCGUCGGCUGUGAAAACUCGGGGCUCAACUCCGAGCUUGCGGUCGAUACGGGCAGGCUAGAGUUCGGUAGGGGAGACUGGAAUUCCUGGUGUAGCGGUGAAAUGCGCAGAUAUCAGGAGGAACACCGGUGGCGAAGGCGGGUCUCUGGGCCGAUACUGACGCUGAGGAGCGAAAGCGUGGGGAGCGAACAGG
rnacentral:rRNA from 1 species